GUUGACCUCGGAUCAGGUAGGGAUACCCGCUGAACUUAAGCAUAUCAAUAAGCGGAGGAAAAGAAACCAACAGGGAUUGCCUCAGUAACGGCGAGUGAA
rnacentral:rRNA from 1 species